GACGAACGCUGGCGGCGUGCCUAAUACAUGCAAGUAGAACGCUGAAGAGAGGAGCUUACUCUUCUUGGAUGAGUUGCGAACGGGUGAGUAACGCGUAGGUAACCUGCCUUGUAGCGGGGGAUAACUAUUGGAAACGAUAGCUAAUACCGCAUAACAAUGGAUGACACAUGUCAUUUAUUUGAAAGGGGCAAUUGCUCCACUACAAGAUGGACCUGCGUUGUAUUAGCUAGUAGGUGAGGUAAUGGCUCACCUAGGCGACGACACAUAGCCGACCUGAGAGGGUGAUCGGCCACACUGGGACUGAGACACGGCCCAGACUCCUACGGGAGGCAGCAGUAGGGAAUCUUCGGCAAUGGGGGCAACCCUGACCGAGCAACGCCGCGUGAGUGAAGAAGGGUUUCGGAUCGUAAAGCUCUGUUGUAAGUCAAGAACGGGUGUGAGAGUGGAAAGUUCACACUGUGACGGUAGCUUACCAGAAAGGGACGGCUAACUACGUG
rnacentral:rRNA from 1 species